rnacentral:rRNA from 1 species
AAACGAUUGAAGUCAGUCGUGCGUGAGGUAAUCAGCCGUCUCUGGCGGUGUAUUUGCCUCUCGCGGGUCAACAUCAGUUUUGAUCGACGGAUAAGGGCGGGGGGAAGGUGGCACCUCCGGGUGUGUUAUAGCCCCCUGUCGCAUACGUCGAUUGAGACUGAGGAACGCAGCUCGCCUUUAUGGCCGGGGUUCGCCCACGUUCGAGCUUAGGAUGUUGACAUAAUGGCUUUAAACGA